AACGAACGCUGGCGGCGUGCCUAACACAUGCAAGUCGAGCGCGAAUGGAGCAAUCCUAGUAGCGCGGCGAACGGGUGCGUAACACGUGGGUAAUCUGCCUAGAAGACUGGAAUAACCUGCCGAAAGGCUGGCUAAUACCGGAUAAGACCACAGAGUCUUCGGACUCCGAGGGAAAAUGGUGGCCUCUGUAUACAAGCUAUCACUUCUAGAUGAGCCCGCGGCCCAUCAGCUAGUUGGCGGGGUAAUGGCCCACCAAGGCAACGACGGGUAGCUGGUCUGAGAGGACGAUCAGCCACACUGGAACUGAGACACGGUCAGACUCCUACGGGAGGCAGCAGUGGGGAAUUUUGCACAAUGGGCGAAAGCCUGAUGCAGCAACGCCGCGUGUGUGAUGAAGGUCUUCGGAUUGUAAAGCACUUUCGACCGGGACGAACACCUGUUGGCCAACAUCCAACAGCCUGACGGUACCGGGAGAAGAAGCACCGGCUAACUCUGUGCCAGCCGCCGCCGUAAGAC
rnacentral:rRNA from 1 species